CUUGCUCCUGAUUGAUAACAUUUGAGUGAGUGGCGGACGGGUGAGUAACACGUGGGUAACCUGCCCUAAAGUGGGGGAUAACAUUUGGAAACAGAUGCUAAUACCGCAUAAAACCUAACACCGCAUGGUGUAGGGUUGAAAGAUGGUUUCGGCUAUCACUUUAGGAUGGACCCGCGGUGCAUUAGUUAGUUGGUGAGGUAAAGGCUCACCAAGACCGUGAUGCAUAGCCGACCUGAGAGGGUAAUCGGCCACACUGGGACUGAGACACGGCCCAGACUCCUACGGGAGGCAGCAGUAGGGAAUCUUCCACAAUGGACGAAAGUCUGAUGGAGCAACGCCGCGUGAGUGAAGAAGGUUUCGGAUCGUAAAACUCUGUUGUUGGAGAAGAAUGUAUCUGAUAGUAACUGAUCAGGUAGUGACGGUAUCCAACCAGAAAGCCACGGCUAACUACGUG
rnacentral:rRNA from 1 species